GGCCAGACUCCUACGGGAGGCAGCAGUGGGGAAUAUUGCACAAUGGGGGGAACCCUGAUGCAGCGACGCCGCGUGGGUGAAGGAGUAUUUCGGUAUGUAAAGCCCUAUCAGCAGGGAAGAACAAUGACGGUACCUGACUAAGAAGCACCGGCUAAAUACGUGCCAGCAGCCGCGGUAAUACGUAGGGGGCAAGCGUUAUCCGGAUUUACUGGGUGUAAAGGGAGCGUAGGCGGCGAUGCAAGCCAGAUGUGAAAGCCCGGGGCUCAACCCCGGGACUGCAUUUGGAACUGUGUGGCUGGAGUGUCGGAGAGGCAGGCGGAAUUCCUAGUGUAGCGGUGAAAUGCGUAGAUAUUAGGAGGAACACCAGUGGCGAAGGCGGCCUGCUGGACGAUGACUGACGUUGAGGCUCGAAAGCGUGGGGAGCAAACAGGAUUAGAUACCCGAGUAA
rnacentral:rRNA from 1 species